UCAACCACACAUUAAACCUAACUCUUAUCAAAAUCCUUGAACCAAACGAUCCCCAUCUGACAAAGAUAUGAAUCCAUGUUUUGAAGUUUUGAUGAAGGAUUCAUACAUAACGUAAGAUUUUAUGGUAAAUGAGCUCUUUCAUUUAAAAUUCUAUUUUUUUAAUUGCUUGUGAUUUUCGACUUGGUUUUGUAAAAGAAUUAGAAACAAACUAACUGUUGUUUUGAUUUGGUUUUUGAAGAGGGGCACAUCAUGUUUCAACAAAAAAAAAUGAGUUUCAACCAAAUUCAGUUUAAAACAAACAGAUCUGGUUGUAAUAAAAUAUCAAAGACGUUGUUUUUCUAAUUUUUUUUAUUAAUCUCUCAACCAACCAAGUAACAUAAAAAAAAUUGAGUUUCAACCAAAUCCAAUAUUAAACAAACAGAUCUGGUUGUAAUAAAAUAUUAAAAAAACUAUUUUUUUAUUAAUCUCUCAACCAACAGUAUACAGAUUGCAUUAUUUCAAUUUUAUUUCUUUUUGUUUGUAGCAUAUUCCAAUGCAUUUUUACGAACACCUUCCUGAAUCACAUAGUUCAGCGGUUCUUCACUAUGAUGGCCAGCCUUGGUUUAUGGAAAUUAACAUGGGUAAUCGGAGACGGUUCAAAGACGACUAGAAAUAUUUUUUGAUGAAAAAUAACAUCAAUCGGGGUUUGUUAAUUAACUUUGAGUUGGUCAAAAUUAUAGAAUUCGUGUUAUCUUCCAAUUACACGUGACAGGCCGAGGAACUCUUCAAGAUCCC
rnacentral:lncRNA from 1 species